UGGGGGAUAUUGCACAAUGGGGGGAACCCUGAUGCAGCGACGCCGCGUGGGCGAUGGAGUGCUUCGGCAUGUAAAGCCCUAUCAGCAGGGAAGAAAAUGACGGUACCUGACUAAGAAGCCCCGGCUAAAUACGUGCCAGCAGCCGCGGUAAUACGUAUGGGGCAAGCGUUAUCCGGAUUUACUGGGUGUAAAGGGAGCGUAGGCGGCCUGGCAAGCCUGAUGUGAAAUACCGGGGCCCAACCCCGGGGCUGCAUUGGGAACUGCCAGGCUGGAGUGCCGGAGAGGCAGGCGGAAUUCCUAGUG
rnacentral:rRNA from 1 species